rnacentral:lncRNA from 1 species
GUAGUUUGCUUUGCAUGUUUCUGUUGUAUUUCUGUGGCACUUGAUUGCCCUGGUGGUGUUUACCUCACAAAUGCUGCCUAAUUCAGGCCAGAGGGAAGGCAGAGCCAGUGAAAAGAGCUCCACGGGCUAGAAGAGGGUGGACCCAGGAAGAGAUGGCCUCCCCCUGUCCCUGACUCAACUGGAGCUCAGUUCACUCUGCUUUGAAGGAGUAGGAGGAGAACACUACUCACAAAAAGGAGGGCAAGAACCGGCUUGUUCACCAUUGUAUUCCUGCACCACAGCAUAAGCACUCAAUCAUUAUGGGUUAAAGGCUGAAAUUCAAAAAGAGAAAGGGAGAUGUUAGACACCUACUGACCAAGGAGGUGCCCUCCAUUCUGCUUAACCACCGCCCAGGCCAGUCAUUUCUCUCCCUGGAAGACUUUGAGUCAUGCACGCGCAAGGAAAAUUAGAGACAGGGUUUCACCAUGUUGGUCUCAAACUCCUGACCUCAAGUGAUCCACCUGCCUCAGCCUCCCAAAGUGCUGGGAUUACAGACGUGAGCCACUGCCACACAGCCGAAUAAAGGACAAGAGUAGCAAAGAGGAUUAUGAGCAGUGCAAUACAAAACAAGGCUGCAACAAAAGGGCCACAGAAACCUGGAAUCAUUUUGGAAAUCAGUAUACCAUCUUGAAACCAAAAAUGUCUCCAUAAAUAUGAAGGCAAUAGCAAUGCCGUCACUGAGUCUGCCAUGAAGUCAGAAUGCCAAAUGAAGACUAUAAAACUUGGAUUUGCUUGCAGAGUUUCCACUGAAAUUCGAAUUCUUGGUUAGUCACUUUUUUGGAGACAGAGAAAAAUGAUGUGUUCCAAAUCCAAUUAAAGAUUCUGUGUUCUAAUUUUCUUCUAUUGUGAGGAAUUCAGUAGAUGAAAGUACAGGAUCGUGCAAGAUUUAUAAGCCACAUAAGCCCACAUGUUGUCCAAAUGGACUUAGCCAAAACCUUGAGCAAGAAAUUGAAGGAAAGGGGAAGUCCAGUAGUAUGAACUUACUUGAUGAAUAGCAGUGCUAGAUUUACAGAUGGAUAAAAGAUGCUACAUUUGCCAAUGUUGCUUCGUGACUAUUCCAUUUUGCAGGAGUGAAGAAUGGAUGACUUUAUAUAAAUUUAGUGCUUCAGAAUUUUUCUAAUAUGUCACCAUGUUGAUGUUCAACUUAACAUUGCCAUGAUGUGAUCAGAUAUGACAUAACGUGAUAAAUAGCAGGAGUGUCUCACGAUGGAACAUGACACAACAUGGUGUGUCAAGUUUCUUUUGAACCUUUCUCGGGAUCCAAUAUCAGCCAAAAGGAGGUCAUUUUAAUUAUCAGAUGAUUAAUUAAUUAGAUAGUUAAUUGUCACAGGUAGAUUAAUCCAAAGACAAUGUGGUUCUGUACAUGCACGUUUGUAGACAGAGGAAAACGUGACUUUUUAAAACGUACCUAGCUAAAUUAAAAGACACUAAAGUUUAAGAACGUGACUCAUUGUUUAUUCAAAUAACAUUCACAAACGACUAGGAUGCCAGAUGUUGUGCCAGAUGUUGUGUGAAGCAUGUUCAGAAGUAGAAAAUCAUCCCUGCCCUCAAAGGGCUGAUGAUCGAGUUGAAAACAUAAAGCUUUCUUUAAAACAAUCUGGACAUCUAGAGAAUGUUCAAUAAUUUUUUUUAAGUUAAAAACUAAGGAACAGUUUUAAGGCAAUGAAUCUUUUUAAAUGAACUAUUUCCAGUACUUUGCCACUGUUUGCUUUUUAGGGAAAGCUGUCAUAUUCCAGGAACAAGGGUAACUGCAAAGUAAUUUUUUUUAAUCAUAGUAAUGAAAUCCCAGUUUCAGACAUUCUAUGAGUUAGAUGUAAACCAAAAAAAAUUAAAACCCCAUGAAAAACUUUAAUAAAUCAGUUUUUUAAAGUUAUUGUCUACUUUUUAUUUUUCUGCUAAAAGCAGAAAUCCAAGACAUGACAAAUACUUAGUUUUCCAAAAAGAGCUGGAAUCUUAUAACCUUUAUGUAAAAGGCUGCCAAUAUUGUAAGUUCCUUUAUACAUAUUUAGAAGGGAUUUUUUUUUUUUUUGAGAUGGAGUCUCGCUCUGUCGCCCAGGCUGGAGUGCAGUGGCACAAUCUACGCUCACUGCCACCUCCGCCUCCCGGGUUCAAGCGAUUCUCCUGCCUCAGCCUCCCAAGUAGCUGGGACUACAGGCACAUGCCACUACGCCCGGCUAGUUUUUUGUAUUUUUAGUAGAGAUGGGGUUUCACUGUGUCAGCCAGGAUGGUCGUGAUCUCCUGACCUCAUGAUCCGCCUGCCUCAGCCUCCCAAAGUGCUGGGAUUACAGGCAUGAGCCACCGCGCUCGGCCAGAAUUUUUGACAAUCAAUGGCAAUUAAUGUAUCAUGCAAAAUCAUGUCAAGUGCAUUUCUUAAAGUAUCUAUUUGUAUGAGAUUUUGUCCUAGGCGUUAUAAAACAAAAUAAGCAUAUAGUUAAUGUUCUGCAAUCUAAGAUGUAAAGUACUUUUCAUUAUUCUAAACUAAUAAAGCAGUUUUUGUUUUAUUCCCUCAACUCCAC